rnacentral:rRNA from 1 species
GAUGAACGCUGGCGGCGUGCUUAACACAUGCAAGUCGAACGGUGAACGAGGGAGCUUGCUCCCUCCGGAUCAGUGGCGAACGGGUGAGUAACACGUGAGCAAUCUGCCCUAGACUCUGGGAUAAGCGUUGGAAACGACGUCUAAUACCGGAUACGAGGCGUGGGGGCAUCCCCAACGCCUGGAAAGAACUUCGGUCCAGGAUGAGCUCGCGGCCUAUCAGCUAGUUGGUGAGGUAACGGCUCACCAAGGCGACGACGGGUAGCCGGCCUGAGAGGGGGACCGGCCACACUGGGACUGAGACACGGCCCAGGCUCCUACGCGAGGCAGCAGUGGGGAAUAUUGCACAAUGGGCGCAAGCCUGAUGCAGCAACGCCGCGUGAGGGACGACGGCCUUCGGGUUGUAAACCUCUUUUAGCAGGGAAGAAGCGAAAGUGACGGUACCUGCAGAAAAAGCACCGGCUAACUACGUGCCAGCCGCCGCCGUAAAAC